rnacentral:lncRNA from 1 species
UAUACAGGUAUAACAUCACCAAAUUCUAUUUUAUUUUAUUAUUUUAUUUUAUUUUUUAUUUUAUUUUAAAGAGUUUCUUUAUUUAUUCAUGAGAGACAUAGAAAGAGAGACAGAGACAGAAACAUAGGGAAAGGGAGAAGCAGGCUCCCUGCGGGGAGCCUAACGUGGGACUUGAUCCCAGGAUGCCAGGUCAUGCCCUGAGCUGAAGACAGAUACUCAACUGCUGAGCCACCCAGGUGUCCCACCAAAUUCUAUUUUAAUGAGAAGAUGGAAAAGGGAGCUAACACCUAUGGUUACAUCUACUACAUGCAUGGCAUGCAUGGCACCCUGCUCUGUGCUUGAGAGAAAGCAAUAAAAAAAAAAAAAGUCAGUUAAUAUGAGGGUGUCCCAUACCUCUCACUAACAGAAAAACUGGAUUUACUAAGAAUGUCUAAGAAAUCUUAGACUAACCCCAUAAACCUGUACAAUAACUAUAGAUAGACUUUUGAAAAUUGGAAAAUAUCUCUAAUGUUAAGGAGCUAAACGUUUUAUAUCUCAUUACCUACAUUUUAUUUUGUCCACUUGUUUCUUUUCAAGAAAUUACCCAAGGGAAACCAAAUAGUUUACAGGGUAAAUCUAGGUAGGUUUCUAUUUUUUAUGCUACUUGAGCAAAUACCAUAGCUGUGCUGUUAUGUUAGAAAUAAAUUUAUAAACCCAAAAUAACCAGAAUUCAGUUUGGUUUACAAAAUUAGAUUUGGUUAAAAUUAAACUUUACUGACCCACCUAUAAAUAGAAACAUUUUCGUUAAGCAGUUUUAAGAACAUUUUAAUGUAAGGCAUUGAUAGGCUGAGCGAAGGAGAAAGUCAUGGGUCUCUUUGAGAUCCUAAAGACUUAUAAGAGUUUUACAAUAUUUCCCUACAAUGACCAGGAGAAAUAAAGUCUGCCAUAAGUUUUAUACUGUUAAAUUCGUUGCCAUUUACAUAGCAGCAACCCUUGAUAAAAAAAAUCUUUUUAAAAAGAAACAAAAUUAGGGAUGCCUGGGUGGCUCAGCGGUUGAGUGACUGCCUCUGGCUCAGGUUGUGAUCCCAGGGCCCCGGGAUGGAGUCCCACAUCGGCGUCCCCGCAGGAAGCCUGCUUGUCUCUCUACCUAUGUCUCUACCUCUCUCUGUGUCUCUCAUAAAUAAAUAAAUAAAAUCUUCAAAAAAAAUCUUAAAAAGAAACAAAAAUAGAAAAUAAAAGAGAACACUUUAAAAGGCACAGAAGUUAAAAAAAAAAGUCCUUUGCAAAGAAUCAUAGUACAUAAAUCAGGACUGUGCAAAUUCAGUACUUAAUUAUGGAAAAUUUGCCAUGUUUUUUUCCAUU